GAUCCUGGCUCAGGAUGAACGCUGACAGAAUGCUUAACACAUGCAAGUCUACUUGAUCCUUCGGGUGAUGGUGGCGGACGGGUGAGUAACGCGUAAAGAACUUGCCCUGCAGUCUGGGACAACAUUUGGAAACGAAUGCUAAUACCGGAUGUUAUGUGAGUUUCGCAUGAAAAUUACAUAUGAAAAGACUAUAUGCGCUGCAGGAGAGCUUUGUCGUCCUACUUAGU
rnacentral:rRNA from 1 species